GCACCGGUGGUGCGCUGGUGCACGCCGCCAUUAAAUAAUAUUGGAGAUCCGAGUGAUUUCAGGCGGAUCGGGGUUCAACUCCCCGCCGGUGCA